rnacentral:rRNA from 1 species
GAUGAACGCUGGCGGCGUGCCUAAUACAUGCAAGUCGAGCGAAUGGAUUAAGAGCUUGCUCUUAUGAAGUUAGCGGCGGACGGGUGAGUAACACGUGGGUAACCUGCCCAUAAGACUGGGAUAACUCCGGGAAACCGGGGCUAAUACCGGAUAAUAUUUUGACAUGCAUGGUUCAAAAUUGAAAGGCGGCUUCGGCUGUCACUUAUGGAUGGACCCGCGUCGCAUUAGCGAGUUGGUGAGGUAACGGCUCACCAAGGCAACGAUGCGUAGCCGACCUGAGAGGGUGAUCGGCCACACUGGGACAGAGACACGGCCCAGACUCCUACGGGGGGCAGCAGUAGGGAAUCUUCCGCAAUGGACGAAAGUCUGACGGAGCAACGCCGCGUGAGUGAUGAAGGCUUUCGGGUCGUAAAACUCUGUUGUUAGGGAAGAACAAGUGCUAGUUGAAUAAGCUGGCACCUUGACGGUACCUAACCAGAAAGCCACGGCUAACUACGUGCCAGCAGCCGCCGUAA